rnacentral:misc_RNA from 1 species
GAUGCAGCUGAUGAUCUUUUUCAUCUGAAUUUAACCUUACUUUUGUUACUUUGCAAUACUGGAAAAACGAAAUAUGUUGAAGAUAAUCUUCAAUUCAAAAUCUCUUCAUUCCUGUAGAAAGUUAAAAAGAAAAUAAAUUAAAAGAAACUGAUACAUUGCAAAUGUUUUUCUCAAAAUAAAGUGAAACCGAAAGAGAUGGUGGAUGAGUAAAACUAUUCAAGUCGAUUACAACUUCUAGAUAUCAAUUGUCACAGGACAAACAUAAUUUGCAUCUACUCCCUAUAGACAGGUCAGAAUAUGAAGAAUCAUGACAUUUGGA